AGGUGUAGCGCAGAUGGUAGCGCGCUUGGUUUGGGACCAAGAUGCCGCAGGUUCGAAUCCUGUCACCU
rnacentral:tRNA from 1 species